rnacentral:tRNA from 1 species
GGGAAGUUAUACCGUAGGGGUAGCGGGGCAGACUGUAAAUCUGUUGUCGAAAGACUCGGGUGGUUCAACUCCAUCACUUCCCA